AGUUAAAAAGCUCGUAGUUGGAUUUCUGGAGGGAGUGAUCAGUCCAGCUCUAUGAGUUGGUACUUGAAUCGUCUCCCACCAUCUUUCAGGAAAACCUUUCUGGCAUUAAGUUGUCGGGUAGGGGAUCCUGAUCCUUUACUGUGAAAAAAUUAGAGUGUUCAAAGCAGGCUUAUGCCGUUGAAUAUAUUAGCAUGGAAUAAUAAGAUAGGACUAUGGUACUAUUUUGUUGGUUUGUGCACCAUGGUAAUGAUUAAUAGGGAUAGUUGGGGGUAUUCGUAUUCAAUUGUCAGAGGUGAAAUUCUUGGAUUUAUGGAAGACGAACUACUGCGAAAGCAUUUACCAAGGAUGUUUUCAUAAUCAAGAACGAAAGUUAGGGGAUCGAAGAUGAUUAGAUACCAUCGUAGUCUUAACCAUAAACUAUGCCGACUAGGGAUUGGUCUUGUUUGUUAUGACUGGAUCAGCACCUUAUGAGAAAUCAAAGUCUUUGGGUUCCGGGGGGAGUAUGGUCGCAAGGCUGAAACUUAAAGA
rnacentral:rRNA from 1 species